rnacentral:misc_RNA from 1 species
AUACGUUGUGCGUAAACAAAAGUAUAAAAUGUAUAAAUUCAGAUAUAAAUAUUGAUUAACAAUGGAUAUAAACUGUGAGAGGUUAGGAAAUUUCAAUGUUAAAAUGAUUGGCAAGAUGGCGCCCGUCAAAUACCCAGUGUGCCCCGCGCGAUUGAUUUGCGCAUGUCAGUUAUUCGCAUUGCAAAUGGCGGCUCCUUGUUAUUGUUCAUGGCGUUUUAUGACUUGUCCCUUUAUAUUACCGAUUAUGUCGAGUUUUUUCGUGAUUCCUACCGCGCGCUGUGUGCAGAAAGUGAAGUAAGACUUGCCCGGCAUAUUUUUGAUUAAAAUUAGUGCUCCUGUGGUGUGGCUCCGUGCAUUUUGGACGCGAGAAAUCCCGCACGAAGUUGCAAAGAAAUGGGAAACAAUAAGCAUAUUUAUUAGUGCUGGCGUUGUUUGGAGUUGUCGGUUUAAAACCGACAAACAAACAUCUUAUCACCACAUUCUGUAGUGAUACCCUGAGGCGUUUGUAACCUCUCUGGGUAGUUAUGUGAUUUGUGGUUGUCAUGGCGGCUGAUAGUGAUGGUGAUCUGAUUCAAACGGUGGUAACGUGCGAGGGUAACCUAGAAGAUCCUGAAUUUCGGCAUAGGUUUAAAACCAUUGUUGAUCGUCUUAAAUCAUUACUUUGUAAAGAAAAGGGUGAUGGUUUAAGAGUAAAUAAAGUAGAGCCAUGGAACUCUGUCAGAGUCACAUUUUCAAUACCCAGAGAAGCUGCACUACGUCUUCGAGAAUUAGCAGCUCAGGGUUCUCCAGCUCUUACACAACUUGGAAUUCUUUCAGUGCAGGUUGAAGGAGAUCAGGUAAUAUCAUUGAGGAUAGCCAACCGCUUUAGUGGUGAAGCACAGGAAAUUGUGUUACGUUCAGGAUCCUCACAAGACAGUGGUGCCAAAUCUCAAAAUGAAUCCACUAGCAAUACAGCUAAUGCUGACAAUGACCCUCCAACAGCUUUACCUGGUCCAAGUAAUACAUCUAGUAUUUCUUCAGCAUUGCGUAAUGUGGCUCAAAUAAUAGCAGCUGGUACAUCAUCAGAAAAAGCACCACAGUUUCGUUCUCCAAAUGUAGUUGCACCUACAGACUGUGAUCCUAUCCCACCAUUUCUUACAAAAUCUGUACAGUCAGCAUCAGGAAGUAAUAGUGUUGGUGUAUCUGGAAAUCAACCAGUAACUAAUCCCAGUGCUUCGCCUAGGAAUAAUUAUAAUGGUCCAUUCCCAUUUGCCAGUAUGACACAUGCUGCCCAAGCAAUACAUAAUCGUGAAUCACAAGCAACAAUUAAAAGUGCAAUGCAGUUUAAACAUCAUGGACAGCCACCCCCGCCUUAUCCUGCUCAAGAGAAUUUGGCGACAGUAACAACAUUAACUACUGGUCAUACUACUACUCAGUCAGUUGUGUCAGUUGGUCAGUUGACAAAUCAGUACAAGUCUUCAAUUACCACUACAUCUAGUCUGUCACCAAACAAUAACAAUCUGGCAGGGAAUUCAAAUGGUAAUGGAAAUCAGGUUGCUCUGUCCAGUCCACUUCUUGUAAAUCUUUUACAAAAUGAUGCUGGAACGCACCCUAACAAUGUGAUACCUGGUCAGAAAAUGUUACCACCAGCUGUUAUUGAUAGUUCUGGAAUUACUAACCGUAUGAGACCCACUAAAAAACCAACAGUUAGAAGAAAAGAUUUAUCUUCGCCUAGUGAGUCUCCACCAAAUUUAGAUUCACUCAGAACAGAAGACCUUAUUGGAGGAACAACGGUCAUUCCUGACUUAUCUCAAUCUUCUACAUCUGCAUUUGCAACCGUUAAUACUAAUCAGCCUUCAACUAUUCCUCAGCAACAUUCAGUCAAUGUAAUUGGUAGCACUGGGCAAAAUAUGACGCAACAAGUAAUACAUCAAACUUCUACUAGUGGACAAAUGCAACAACCUGCCUCGUCAUUACAUGCUCAAGUACAAAUUCAACAAAAGUUUCCCAUUAGGCAAGAAUUGGCUUAUAGACCUUCACAAAUCCAAUUACAAAGUCAACUUCCAAUUAGACAUCCAGUGAAUGGACAGCAAAUUCGAACGCCUUUACAACGGCAGUUACUACUUCAACAACAGCAACAACAUCAAAUUUUAACACAACAGCAACUAAAUCAACAAAAUAUAAAUACUUCACAUUUGCUUACACAACAGACUUCAACUCAACAAUCACUGGUACAACAACAAAAUGUAAAUACGGCGUUACAGUCUACAUCUGUUCCCAAUCAACCGCUCCUGCAACAACAACAGCAGCAGCAACUGAUGCAACAUUCAACAGUAAGCAUGAGUAUUCCACAACAACGGCUAAGUUACUUAAAUAAUCAACGUCAACAAACUCCUCCUCCUUAUUCGCGACAACCGGUUCCACCGCAGUCCCAUUUAGGGCAGCAGAAUCAAGCACUGAAUGUGCAACAACAAUUACAUCAUAAUCAGCUUAAAAAUAUAAAUGUUAACACCAGUGCUACAGCUGAUUUUCGCUAUGGGCAGAGUCAAAAUAUUCUCAGUAGAAAUUAUCAACCUACAACAAGUAAUACUAAUGGGACCACGUGGAACGCACAAAAUAAUUCUAUUCCACAAGGUGCUCAAGUCAAUACCACACGUUUGCCAACUACAAAUCAGGUUUCAGGUGCCUUUUCUCAGUGCGGAUCUCACACUAACCACGUUUCUAAUAGUAAUGCUGCUUCGCCUACCACUAAGGUUGAAACAUCUGAAUCUCCUAAACCUAAAGAAGAGACACCUGAACCAGAAUACACGUCAACCGGUAAAAUACGACAGUUUCUUAUUAACCCUUUAACCGGCCAUUUGGAACCAAUGCCCAGUGAAAGUUCAGAUUCGGAACCAGAAAGUGCGGUGGAUAAUCCAGAUGAUUUCUUUUCCUUUCCAUCACCAUCAAACGAUCGAUCAAAUUCCAUAUUUUCUGACGACGAUGCAGACAGUAAUUUCUCAAGAAGAAACGAUACAACAACAAAUACAGAUCAAUCAGAUUCUGAAACCACGGUAAAAUCUACUGCCAGUGAAGGAAGUUUGAAGCAUAGUAGAAUAAAAUCAAGUAGAGAAACCGCACAGAGUCCUAUGCCUGGAGAAAAAAUCAAACUAAGAUUAAAGUUAGAAAAAUCUGAACCCGUCACUCCAGCGUAUAAAGUUGAUGUUUCUUUCGUAAAUACGCCACCAAUUAGGAAAGCCGAUAAAUCAGUAAAUAAAAUGUUUACCACUGGUAUUCCGAACUCAGGAAUCGGUGAUGAACCGAGAGUGCCUCCGUUACAUAUUUCCUUAAGAGGGCGUAAUGCUUCAGUAGUACAAAUCAGAAAAAAAGAAAAGAAAUCAUUAAAAGAUGGAGAAUUGGAUCCAACUAGUAUAAAAAAGAGGGGGAAGUUGAAAAAAAUGAAAGAGUGCUUAGAUGGGAACAAGUUGUUGCAAAAAAAGUCGUCCUUGAGCAUGAUAAUAGGUACUUCAUCCGCAUCCAAACUACCUUUAUCCAAUUCUACAAUGAUCAAUAGUACUAAUACUAUUAGCAAAGUUAAUAAUAUACUUCAAACAGUUGUAUCAAAACCUAAUGCCUUAAAACAAGAAUUACCGGUCGACGUUGUACAUGUUCAAAGUGGCAUUACAAAACCAAGUUCAAGUAAAAGCAGUGAUGUAGAUGAUAUACCAUUGAACAGUAGAAUUCCAUCUCCUUCAAAACACAAGUCUACUGUUCUGAAUCAACCAUUAAACACGCAACAGUCUUUAACAAAAAAUCAAGUUGAAUUAGAUGUUCCAAACCAUAUGCAAGAACAUAAAAUAGGAGGAGGAAAAACCAAAAGAAGAGAUUCUAAAAAGAAAUCAGAAUCGGGAGAUGGUUUACAUCGUGAACAAAAUUUAUUAUCUGGUGGUAGAAUAUUGGAUAAUCAGGCAAAAUGGAGAAAACUUAAUUAUAAAGCUGACGCGGCUCAGGCUAUAAGAAAAACCGAUGCACUUCUAACUGGAAAUGAUUUUAAUGCAGUCAAAAAAGUUGGGGAAAUUAGACGAACAAGUGACAGCGACAUUAAUAGAUCGGCAGUUGAAAAGAAUAAUACUUUGAAUGCUGUUGCUUCACGACUGACAGAAAUAAAUGGCAUAAAAAAGGAUUUAAUUAGCCAAGAAAAAAGAAGAAGAUUAAGUUUAAUGGAUGAAAAAGAUCUACAUUUAGGAGAAUCUCAAGAUACAGAGACUACACAUUUUAGUAAUCAGAAGACCAUUCCUGAAUGUUCUUCCACUAAUGUAGUUUCAAAUACAAAUACAAAAUCUACUGGUAAUUCAUCAUUUGAAAAUGAAAAUUCUGGAUUAGUACUUUCUAAUAUGCCUGCACAAAAUGAUUCAAAUUCAUCCACCAAUCUUGAAAAUAAAGUUUCUGCACACGUAGAAACUACUGUGAAAAAUACACAAGCAUCUGUAAACAGGAUUAUUUCGGGAAAAAAUAAAGCAGACAUAGAUAAUUCUAAAGCAAAUUCUAACAUUACAGUAAAAAGUCAAACUAUCAAUCAGAAACUAAAAAAUCAUAUGGUUUCAAAGAAUGACACAAAUGCUGCACUAAAUAGGCAUAAUAAAGUAGAACAUUUUAGUCACAAGAAAGUUAUUCAGAAUCAUAUAAAGCAGGUUGAUCGAGCCAUUAUAGAAAAUAAAGUGGAUAAUACGCAAAGAAUUAGUUUAUUGAAGACUACCCAAAGUUCAGCAAUAGGAAACUCAGUGGACCAAGUUCCCAGAUCCCAAAGUGUUGAUGUACCUUCCAGCAAGCCCACUUUACCAAUUGGAGAAAUUAAUGUGACGGAAGCAAAAGUUAAACAAAAAUUGCUUGAAACAACAGCUCCAAUUGCGAUUGGAGUGGACGCGAGUGUGGAAAGAGUUAGUAGUGGAGGAGGUGGUGAAGAUUCAGGCAUUGAGUCCAUGGAUGCUCUUUCAGAGAAGUCACCGAAUCAAGGGGAAUCUCCUUUGCAUAGGCCAGCGACUGAACCGGUAACACAAAGCAGUGCAAAGACUGCUGUUCAAGGGGAAUCUUCCCUACCAAUCACCAAUAAGAACGUGCCUUCCUCAACUAGUAGUAGUGAUAUGUGUUCAAAUUCCCAUUCAGAACUUUUGAAGUCCAGUGGUCAGCAAAGGUUAAGUCCUGUGUCUGUCACAAAUUAUCUUGAAAACCAUUUAAACCAUAAUAUGUCAAACUCUAGUGAACAUGACAUAAAAGAUGUAUCUAGUGAAAAGUCGACUUCAACGGCAACGAGAACUGGUGGUCAUAGUGACUUGAUUGCUAGUUUAGAAGUGGCUGAUAAUGAUAAAAGUGUAUCUAAUCCAUUAAUGACAGGAUCUGUGACUAUUGUGACAACUUCUGUACCCGGUACUGUGGAUAGUGAUAAUUUACUGCAAUGCGCACAGCAGCAAACAAAUGACUUUUCCGAAAAAGACAGUUGUAGCAUUAAAUUAGAAGGUUCUACUAAUCAGCAUGAUCAGGGUACAAUAAAUACUACGCAUGAAGUGUCAAGAGCCCCCGAAAGUGCAACUGAAGAUAAUGUGAAAACAGUCAUAGACGAUAAUAGUGCAAUUAGAUUAAAUGAUGAACCUCAUGGACAAAAUAAUAAUGGUGUGCCUGUAAUACAAAAUCAUGUUUCUUAUAAUAAAAUAAAGACAGAAAAACUUGAUAACACAGUUACAAGUGAGGCUAAUGCAGUGGCAGAUAACUCAUGUUCCGGUAGUCAAACUUUUAGUUCAGAAAUCAAAGUAGAAUCUAAUAUCAAUACAAAAGUCGAUGAUACAAGGCAAAACGAUCGUUCAGAUAAUACAAAAAGUUCUAACGUUUCUUUAAAUACAACAUCUGUUAAGUUAGAGCAAUGUUCUGAUCAAAACCAAAAAUCUAAUGUACAAAGCCAUCAAGUAUCUGUGAGAGAGUCUUCUAUGAAUCUUCAAAAAGUUACAGAUGACCUGGUUAAGAAAAUUGUGAACGAUACAAGUGAUAUAAACAUAGGUAUUCAAUCACCUUUAGGUGAAGAUCCUCAGCCGAUUAGAAUCACUCCACCACUGUACACAUAUUCUAAUCCAGUAGUUUUGCAAAGGGAUGAGACUCCAAGCCCAGCAGCACAAAAUCCAGAAGUGGAUUCCAGCGACGUUGAACACGUUAAACGGAAACGUAGAAGAAAACAGGAAUUAGAAGGGAGGCAAGAUGUCAUAUGUAUAGAAGAUAACGAUGAAACACAUUUUGUGGAAAGGUUGAAUUCUAAUAAUACAGAUGAUUAUGUCAAAAGAACACCAAAGUCAUUGCUGGAACAACUUCUAAUUGAAAUCCCGAAUGACACUAAUGAAAAAAGAUCUUUAAGAACGAGAUCCCAAAAAUUAAAUAGUCCUGAUAUUGUAAAGACUCCAAAAAGUAGUCCUCAUGGUCCUAAUAAAAUAGAAGAAAGACGCAGCAUAUCACCAUAUGCUAAAGCAAGUCCUAAGUUAGGAGUAUCAAAAUUAUCUCCUAAUACGACAAUAAAAAUAGGGAAAAGAAAACGUCAAGAAAGUGAGAGUUCUGUAGCAUCUAGUACUGCUGAUGAUCCACAACCAAGACCAGGAAAAAGGAAAUGCUCCGAGAAUGCUGCAGAACUCAUUAAAGCUUGUAUAGGUGUAGAUGAAGCUGCUUCAUUAAAAAAACAAGUACCUGUUAAAGAAGAACAGUCGAAAAAAGGAUUCAAUAUAUUGGCCAAGGCUAAGAAAGGUCCCAUUGUGGUAGAAGUAGAUUCGUCUGAUGAUGAGCCAUUGAUUGAAUCUGUAGGAAAAGCAAGAAUGCGAUUAUCAGACGAAACAUCCGCUGCAUCUCCAAAGUCUAAAGAUCAAAAGUAAGCAACAUCGGUUCAGCAUUCUUUUAGCAGCAGUGCAUAUCUGAAUAUGUCAGAGAUUUGAGAGCCCCGCUACUAAUAGAGUGCAAAGAGAGAGCCGUUUAUUAACCACCAAGCAACCGAGUACAACUGCGGUAGUUACCGCUGGAAAGGAAAGGCUACGAGGUA